GAUGCGCCGAGUUUGGCGAAACUCGGGAUCUUCACGAGCUCUGGCGACACCCCAAGAUGAAAGCACAAAUGGUACCGAGACACAGUUUAUCUUUCGAGAAGCCUCCAGUUUCAUUGGUUUAUCUCGAUUCACUCUGGGUGGCUAUCAUUCCUUGGGCGUUGCCUUCUGGGCGGUCGACAAACUGGGGCUCACGUGAUCAUACCGUCGGUGCAUGGUCGCGCCUUCUUUCACUUGUUUGUCGUUCCACCGAGUGCAUUACACGUACAAGCGAGUUAUAAAACAAAUGCAUUUAAUACAAUAUUAUUAGUUAGUUUAACGUGGUUUAAAAGCAUUUUAAAGCUUACAAGAUGUACACUGAAUGUGUAUUCGACUAAUUUGUAAUUUAGUACGCUUCGCAUUAUACCACGAGGGAACGCUGUGGUGGCGUCAUCACAUACAUUCAUCGGGUGAGCAUGGCGGCUAAACAUCGAAGAGGCCCAGUGUAAACAAACUCGUACAACGAGCUUGCAGUGCGCGACGUAGUGAUCAGGCUCGACGAUGACCACUAUUUCUUGGAUAGUUCUGUUCCUCCGUGAGCAAUCUUUCCGUGCACCCCGAAAGACUGCGAAUAGCUUAGGCGAUUUUACAGAUCGCAACGCGUACUUACUGUUCACGGCACAAUCCUGAACAAACAACUUAUCCGGUGCUGCUUCUGUGAGUGCGCUGAGUUCCUCCACUCUGCGUGACUGCGAGCGUCACGAAUAUUGCAUAGUGUGUGCAAAAGGAAGACAGCCGAUAUAGCUACGAUGCGACAAGGAGGUGGUGCCGACGAUGGAUCUCGCAACCAACACAGUGACGGAGGCAUCGACAAACUGCAGAUAACAAAACAUUCUGCUGCUGGAGGCACUCAACCGGCCGGUGGCAGUAGGCGAGCGCCAGGCACAUGCUCUUGAGAGUGUGGCAAGGUCCAGAGGGCUGCUCUGCAACAGUAGGAUCAGUGCACUCACUGCUUUCCAGUCGAGCCCCCAGAACACACCUUAUAAAGGAGCUUUCAGUUUAUUAUUUUGUUUAUUAUUCAAGAGCAUGAAUAAAAUUAUUGCAGUAAA